rnacentral:rRNA from 1 species
AUACGGAGGGUGCAAGCGUUAAUCGGAAUUACUGGGCGUAAAGCGCGCGUAGGCGGUUUGGUCAGUCGGAUGUGAAAGCCCUGGGCUCAACCUGGGAAUGGCAUUCGAUACUGCCAGGCUAGAAUGUAGUAGAGGGAAGUGGAAUUCCGGGUGUAGCGGUGAAAUGCGUAGAUAUCCGGAGGAACAUCAGUGGCGAAGGCGACUUGCUGGACUAAUACUGACGCUGAGGAGCGAAAGCGUGGGGAGCAAACGGGAUUAGAAACCCCAGUAGUCC